UACGAAGGGGGCUAGCGUUGUUCGGAAUUACUGGGCGUAAAGCGUGCGCAGGCGGCUUCCCAAGUCAGUGGUGAAAGCCCGGAGCUCAACCCCGGAACUGCCUUUGAUACUGCGAAUCUCGAGUCCGGAAGAGGUGAGUGGAAUUCCUAGUGUAGAGGUGAAAUUCGUAGAUAUUAGGAAGAACACCAGUGGCGAAGGCGGCUCACUGGUCCGGUACUGACGCUGAGGUGCGAAAGCGUGGGGAGCAAACAGG
rnacentral:rRNA from 1 species